UCCCAAUACGCAAUUUUAGCCGAAUCGUGACGCAAAACACGGCUUGUCUCGAAUCCCGCUAAAAUAAGGGUGUCUAUCCCGAAUCCCGACAGUUAUUUUCGGCCCAUCCCAGUGUCCCGAAAAUACCCGUUCUCCCCCUCAUACAUAGUAGACCAUAUUGUCACAUUGAUGUUUUCUUUCAUUACAGUUAGACUUCGAGAUCUACAUUUUCGACAAAGGCCUGGUGUAAUAUUAUUACGUACUUGAUGAAGGUUUAAUGACACGAAUGAGUACAAGUACAUUACAUUUUUCGACGAAGGCCUUCUGUAAUUUCAUACGCUUCUUACGCAACAUUCAAUAGAUUUAUUUACUGUAUUAUCAUUUCGACCAAGGCGAAUUCGACACUUCAAUUACACAAGCACAAUCAAACUUAGUCAUUCCAGUCAGUUACUGAAGCACAGCGAAAACUGUCUGAAUUAGUGCUGCUGAUGGCAUGUAAUUACUCUACUACUACUACCAGUGACAGUCAAUGUCCAAAUAUUUUCAAGUGUGUGAAAUUAGUACUAGUCUACUUCUUAGUGUUAUUUGAAUGCAAUGUAUGUUAUAAAAAUAUUUUUUCAACACUAUAUCAACAUUCUCAUUCCUGUCAGUUUCUGAAAAUCAGCUAAAGCAAUCGCUACCAAUGCAGCUGAUAACAGCAAUUCUUUUUGUUCCCAAUGCCCAUCCAUGACAAUAUAUUUCACGCAUGUGACAAUCAUGUAAUCAUCCUGUUUUUUGUGUUCUAUUCAUGCAAUAAAUAAAUUCAGUAUUUUCAAAUCAUUGGUGCUACAAAACUAUUCUCAUUAUAGAUUAUUCAUAUUUUAUAAAAUGCUGUCAUGUCAAAUUUUGUGUCCUAGUAUAAAUCAUAAUGAAGUCGGCAUUUUAUAUACAACUUUUGUACUCCUCCUAAAUAAACAUACAAAUCUUGUUUUAUGUAAACUUUGUAUAUGUGACCCGUCACAGCAAAACCAGGCGCAUGUCGCUCUGAGCUUGGCAGGUUGAGACGGACUGUUCUAAUCUUUCAUUAGCGACACCAUUUCUUACCAGAGUGCCUCCUUCAUUCAUACAUCUUGUACUUUAACUCAAGAUACCCAUCUUUGAAUAUUUUUAGUAUACCAAGUACUACAAUGUCAAUGUAUUGAAGUCAUGUUCUUGUAGUGUUAUUGGCUUUCUAUUAUCUUGUCAAAAUACCACUUGGUUCUCGCAAAAUCUCAAUAAAAACAAAUGCUAUUGCAUGUAUUGCAUAUUCUAACAGCUAUCCACUGUAUCGAUUUAUCCAUCAUCUGUACUAUUUGUCACAAAAAUGUUAUAUUAUGUAAAUCAUAUUUCAUUACAUAAUGCACACUGCCAAUUACUGCUGAACCAUUCAUAUGUCAUUUAAAUAAAUAAUUUUCAACUUUUUAAAACCGUCUUAUAGUACUGUUCUUGUCACUUAGCUGAACCAAUUGCUCUAUAGCAUGAAAUUUCCAGAAAUGCCCCAGGGACUGAAAAGUGCUGUUUUAACAGAGAGGUGUCCUAAACUGAGAAGUCGAGUUGAAUGGAAACAACCAAUUUGGAACCAAAAACUACUGUCCUUAUUAAAGAGGUUGUCCUCAAUAGAAAGGUGUCCACAAAAAGUAGGUCCACUGUAUAUGAAAGUACAAACCCUGGUACAUGUAGUGACAUCAUCUACUCCUCGAUGUGGACACCUGCAAAUGCAGCGACAAUGUCACAUCAGUUAUUUAAUUCAUCGUCCUUUGUGCAGAUGGCACCACCCAUCAAACAUGUUGGUGACGAAUAGUGUCGCAGCAUUUCGUCACCGAGCUUUCACGAAAAUGCACUGUCAUUCAUUCAGCCAUAAGUGUAAGACUGUAGGGUUGUUUCCAACCAAACCAUGUU